rnacentral:rRNA from 1 species
CUUAUAGUAUUAUUGAAUGGCAUCGUUUAAUAAUUAAAGAUUUAUUGCUAUAAGAUGGCUAUGCGUUCUAUUAGCUAGUUGGUAUGGUAACGGCAUACCAAGGCUACGAUAGAUAGGGGUCCUGAGAGGGAGAUCCCCCACACUGGUACUGAGACACGGACCAGACUCCUACGGGAGGCAGCAGUGAGGAAUAUUGGACAAUGGAGGCAACUCUGAUCCAGCCAUGCCGCGUGUAGGAAGACUGCCCUAUGGGUUGUAAACUACUUUUAUAGAGGAAGAAACGANAUUACGUGUANUGUUUUGACGGUACUCUACGAAUAAGGAUCGGCUAACUCCGUGCCAGCAGCCGCGGUAAUACGGAGGAUCCAAGCGUUAUCCGGAAUCAUUGGGUUUAAAGGGUCCGUAGGCGGGUUUGUAAGUCAGUGGUGAAAGUUUUCGGCUCAACCGGAAAAUUGCCAUUGAUACUGCAAGUCUUGAAUCAUUGUGAAGUGGUUAGAAUGUGUAGUGUAGCGGUGAAAUGCAUAGAUAUUACACAGAAUACCGAUUGCGAAGGCAGAUCACUAACAAUGUAUUGACGCUNANGNACGANAGCGUGGGUAGCGNACANGAUUAGAUACCCUGNUAGUCCACGCCGUANNACGAUGGUUACUAGCUG